CUGAGAAAAUCCCCUGAAAAAUCUGCAAAAUAUCCCCAAAAAUACCCAAUAAAACCUGAGGAAAUCCCCUGAAAAAUCUGCAAAAUAUCCCCAAAAAUACCCAAUAAAACCUGAGAAAAUAUCCCCAAAAAUCUGCAAAAUAUCCCCAAAAAUACCCAAUAAAACCUGAGAAAAUCCUGGAAAAAUCUGCAAAAUAUCCCCAAAAAUACCCAUAAAAGGUGCGGAAAUAUCCCCAAAAAAUCCCCUUGGAGAACCCAAUAAAACCUGCAAAAAUCCCCAGAAAAAAUAGCCAAUAAAACCUGAGAAAAUACCCCAAAAAAUCUGCAAAAUAUCCCCAAAAAUACCCAAUAAAACCUGAGAAAAUCCCGGAAAAAUCUGCAAAAUAUCCCCAAAAAUACCCAAUAAAACCUGAGAAAAUCCCCUGAAAAAUCUGCAAAAUAUCCCCAAAAAUACCCAAUAAAAGGUGCGAAAAUAUCCCCGAAAAAUCCUGAAAUAUCUGAAAAAAAGCCCCAAAAAAAAAACCCAAAUCCCCCCAAAAAUCCUCAAAACCUCCCAAGAAAUCCCCAAAAAAACCCCAAAAUACCCCCAAAAAUAAAAAACCAAAUUCCUAAAAUGCCUCGAAAAAAUCCUGAAAAAAAUCCCAAAAAAUUCCCCCAAAAUUCAAAAAUUCUCCAAAAAUUCCCCAAAAAUAUCAAAAAUGAAUCCCCCAAAAAUCCCAGAAAAAUAAAACAAAAAAAAAAAAAAAAAUCCCAAAAGAUUCUCCAAAAUUCAAAAAGAAAAAUUUUGAAAAAAUCCCAAAACUCCAAAAAUUCAAAAAGAAAAAUUUUGAAAAAAUCCCAAAAACUCCAAAAAUUCAAAAAGAAAAAGUUUGAAAAAAUCCCAAAAACCCCAAAAAUUCAAAAAGAAAAAUUUUGAAAAAAUCCCAAAAACCCCAAAAAUUCGAAAAGAAAAAUUUUGAAAAAAUCCCAAAAACCCCAAAAAUUCAAAAAGAAAAAUUUUGAAAAAAAUCCCAAAAACUCCAAAAAUUCAAAAAGAAAAAUUUUGAAAAAAAUCCCAAAAACCCCAAAAAUUCAAAAAGAAAAAUUUUGAAAAAAUCCCAAAAACCCCAAAAAUUC